rnacentral:ncRNA from 1 species
ACAUGAGCAACGAACGGGAAGAGUACAAAACAAACGCUAACAGAGAGAGGAUCCAGCUGCUGAAAGGAUUCUUUAGACCGUUUUUUUGGAAGGUCGCCCGGGAGCAAAUUUCUUGAAAACAAGUAGAGAAAUUCGGGAAAUCCCCGUUAUUGGAAUAAAGAGCAUGAAAGCAAGUUAGCAAGCUUUCAUGAAUAAAGGUGGUACCGCGGGAGAACUCUCUUCGUCCUUUUA